GCCUGGGUGGCUCAGUGGUUGAGCAUCUGUCUUUGGCUCAGGGCAUGAUCCCGGGGUUUGGGAUCAAGUCCCAUAUUGGGCU
rfam:Canis lupus familiaris chromosome 13, whole genome shotgun sequence.